rnacentral:rRNA from 1 species
UACGAAGGGGGCUAGCGUUGCUCGGAAUCACUGGGCGUAAAGCGCACGUAGGCGGCUUUCUAAGUUAGAGGUGAAAGCCCGGGGCUCAACCCCGGAACUGCCUUUAAGACUGCAUCGCUUGAAUCCGGGAGAGGUGAGUGGAAUUCCGAGUGUAGAGGUGAAAUUCGUAGAUAUUCGGAAGAACACCAGUGGCGAAGGCGGCUCACUGGACCGGUAUUGACGCUGAGGUGCGAAAGCGUGGGGAGCAAACAGG